ensembl:lncRNA
CGACGGAGCGGGGACGCGACGCACAUCGGACUGACUUGUGUCCUCCACCCUGACGCAGGAGGAGAGGCUGCCCUGCUUCCCCUCUCAGUGCCUCCUCAUUAUAGCUCCUGCCCAAAGCCCCAUUUAAAAAGUUUUAAAAGAAAGAGAAAAACAAUCUCAGAGAGCUCGAACGACGACGUGCCCGUACCAUGGAGAGAAACAAUGAAAAGAGGAACAGGAGCAAAUAUGGAGAAGAGGUGUGUGCCUGGGUGAACCCUGCCCAUUGGAGCCUCCAGGUGUGCGCCACAGGGACAUAAAGAACAAACAGGGAACUAAUGAUUUGGAUAUUUUAGAACCGCACAUAGCGAGCGAGACAACGACGGACCGACCGACCUUCCUCCACCUCGUCCUCUUCCCUAACCCGAGACAGGACUUGAUUGUGAGAGGAGAGGGGGAACUAACACGCAGGAGGAGGCAGUGGGACAAACUGGUUCGACUGGGACACACCCGGCACACAGUCAUCAAAUCCCAGUGUGGGAAGAUAAAAAGGAGAAAAGGACAACAAGAGUGCAGCCUCUAAACUGUCGGACUGCGAGGAAACUACCGACAGGGGGACUCACAAAACGUCCGAUAGUAGUUGGUGUGAGUGUGUAUGAAUGUAGUGAAUUGAAUAUUGUUGGCAAAUAUUUGUGUUAAAAAAGUAGCUCCAAAUGGGAGACGGCAAGAUGAUACGCGUUUAUUAAAUUGUACUUGUAUAUAUAAUAUUAAAAGUGCAACCAGUGCUGGAAAAAGUUUAUUUAUUAAGAUUAUUUAGUGACAGACUGCAUUGUUGUAAAUACAUUUACAUACAAACAUCAUCAUAGAUGCUCCGAGAUUUGUGUAAUUAAUUUCACCCGGUUUGCAAUUGUUAAACAACAGCUGCUCCUUCCUCUCCCUCGGUCACGUUGCCUUCGAUCCUCUCCACUUGUGUCAAAAAAUGCGAGCAGCUGGACGACGGCCGUCCGCGCGUGGACACAUUUUUAUACUCUGGUCCCUCUGCUGAGCACACGACAGGCUUUUGUUUGUGCCAGAGAGCAUCCGUGUGUCCCAAUUUUAUGUUUAGUUUGUCUCAGUAUGAGAGCGAGAGUUGCGUUUGUGUGUGUGGGGGGGGGGGGGAUCUCCUUCUGGUUCGUCCUGCUGAGGAGAAAUGAGGUCGAUGUGAAACAGCCUGCCUGGCUCAUUUAUGUGCAUAAAGAUGUUAAACAAGUUCAUUAAAGCUUUGGGAAAAUCCACAUGCCUGUCAAAGUGUUUGUGUUACGCACACGUCACAUAUCACGAUGCGGUGUCUUGGUCGGGGGGGCGCUACUAUCGCGAGAGUCUUGUAAAAUAAAGAAGACGCGAAAGUUGGAUUGGGGAUUGUAGUUUUUCCCGUUUGGGGAGCCUGAACUCGACUGUGUUGCCACAUGAGGCAAAUGCGGACGUAUUCAUGUAAC